rnacentral:ncRNA from 23 species
UGGCGGUAAGACAAACAAGGUGCCUAGCCCGCUUAGGGCUUGGGUGAAAAGGGAAGCUCGGUGAAAAUCCGGCACGGUGCCCGCCACUGUGAUGGGGAGCUUUGCGGCAACAAGUCACUGAAGGAUGCUUCGGGAAGACGCCGCCAAGCGAUGAUCCUAAGUCAGGAGACCUGCCUUGUUUGGAUCGGACGGA